rnacentral:rRNA from 1 species
AACGAACGCUGGCGGCAGGCUUAACACAUGCAAGUCGAACGGUUGUAGCAAUACAGCAGUGGCAGACGGGUGAGUAACACGUGGGAACCUUCCUAGGGGUACGGAACAACUCAGGGAAACUUGAGCUAAUACCGUAUACGUCCGUGAGGAGAAAGAUUUAUCGCCCUUAGACGGGCCCGCGUAGGAUUAGGUAGUUGGUGGGGUAAUGGCCUACCAAGCCUACGAUCCUUAGCUGAUCUGAGAGGANGAUCAGCCACACUGGGACUGAGACACGGCCCAGACUCCUACGGGAGGCAGCAGUGGGGAAUUUUGGACAAUGGGGGCAACCCUGAUCCAGCCAUGCCGCGUGAGUGAAGAAGGCCU